rnacentral:rRNA from 1 species
GCAAAGGUAGCAUAAUCAGUUGGCUUAUAAUUGAAGUCUGGUAUGAACGAAAUUACGGGUAGAAGCUAUCUAUAAAAUAUUUUUAUGAACUUGGUUAGUAGGUGAAAAAACUUACAUAAUUCAAAUAGACGAGAAGACCCUAGAAAUUUAUACGUAUAACGUUUUUGUUGGGGCGACAGAGUUACAAAGAACUAACUUUAAAGAACAUGCAACAGUGGUGACAGAUAAAAUUACUCUAGGGAUAACAGCAUAAUUUUAUUAGUUUAUGACCUCGAUGUUGGACUAGGGACGGUAUACUUUAGAAGAGUGCACUGUAUGCUCUGUUCGAGCAGUAAUACCUACAUGAUCUGAGUUCAAAUCGAAG